rnacentral:misc_RNA from 1 species
GCAGACUUUUAAUCUGC